GCCAGCAUGAUGCAGUGGUUUGAGUGUUGUAUUACAACUCUGAAGGCCAGGGUUCAAAUCCCAGCUCAGCCA